AAUUUUUUUAAUUUUCAAAAGUUUUUCCGUGUGGCAGAGGAGAGAAACGUUUUCAGUCCAUUUUCAUUUCGCGUUUCUGUUCUCCCUCAUUCUCCAUCCAUCGAUGUAUAGAACCAAGAAUGGCAUUAAAGCUGAAACCACUACCUCUUCCUUCCUAUCAUCAUUCCUCUCCCCAUAAGAACCCUAAUUUCUCACUUUUCAAUCAUCGUCUUCCUAGUUUUCUCUUUGCACAUUCUCUUCCUCUCAAUCUCUUUCUCAUCCACACUUUCAAAAUUCAUGUUUCAUGGCAAUGCCUUCGUAAUCUCUCAUGCAUUUCGAAGUGAUGAAAUCGCUAACGAAGGUGAAGAAGAAAAGGAAGAACCAAUAUUGAUGCAGGGGUCGCGCCUUCACCCCUUAAUUUCCUUGGUUGUCUCUCGCAAGGUAACAAUGUCAUACUUGGAGGAUUGGUGUUCGCGACUUCGAUCUCUUUCUGGAGGUUGGCCCUCUUUUCUCUCUUUGACAGCCUCCACGAAAAAAUUUGCUGUGAAGUUUCAAGGCUUAAGAGGAUAAAGAAAAACAACAGAUUGAGCACAUGAUGGAUAAUGUAGAAGAUGUUGUCACAAAUGCCGCAGGGAGAAUGAUAUCUAUAGCAUCAAGAGCUUUGGAUUAUGAUUCCGAAAUUCUUGAAAUAUGGUAAAGCAAGUGAGGUUUAUGAUGAAUCUAGGGAUAAAGUGAAAGCAUUGGAUUGAGGAAAUAUGGUUGUGGAUGUCUUUGAUGAGGUAAAUGAUUCUAAAGAUAACAUAGGCGUGGGAAAUGAAUAUGGAGUCCACAAAGUAGCCGAAACUUUUGACCAACCUAAACGUGCAAUGGAGGAAUCAUAUGAGUUAACAAAGAAUACAAUGAAUCAAGAGGCAAAGGCUAAGUACAAGGCUGGAAUGGAGAAGGCUUCAGAUGCCAAAGGAUAUGUCAAAGCUAAGAUGAGGAACACCCCAAACCAAUGAACCUAUGGGCAUUGCAUAUAUUCAAAAUUUGAGCAGUUCUAAGAAUAACGAGGAUAAAUAGACUGAAUGUUAGGAAAUAUUUGAUACCCCAACAAGGUGCAUGACAAAAUAUUUCAUGAUAUUGAUUUUAGUUUUUCAAUUUAUAGGCGUUUCUUAUGAAAUCAACAUGAAUAUUGCGCUUAAUACAAAGCCUUUUAUUUCUUAUGUUUUUAACCCUUAUUGUCAAUGUUUGAAUU